AUUGAACGCUGGCGGCAGGCCUAACACAUGCAAGUCGAACGAGUGGCGGACGGGUGAGUAAUGUCUGGGAAACUGCCCGCUGGCGGGGGAUAACUACUGGAAACGGUAGCUAAUACCGCAUACCCUCGGAUGUGCCCCGAUGGGAUUAGCUGGUGGGUGGGGUAAAGGCUCACCUAGGGGACGAUCCCUGGCUGGUCUGCGAGGAUGACCAGCCAAACUGGAACUGAGACAGGGCCCAGACUCCUACGGGAGGCAGCAGGGGGGAAUAUUGGACAAUGGGCGCAAGCCUGAGGCAGCCAGGCCGCGGGGAUGAAGAAGGCUUUCGGGUUGUAAAGUACUUUCAGCGGGGAGGCGUUACCCGCAGAAGAAGCACCGGCUAACUCCGUGCCAGCAGCCGCGGUAAUAC
rnacentral:rRNA from 1 species